rnacentral:rRNA from 1 species
UACGUAGGGGGCUAGCGUUGUCCGGAAUCAUUGGGCGUAAAGAGCGUGUAGGCGGCCCGGUAAGUCCGCUGUGAAAGUCGGGGGCUCAACCCUCGAAUGCCGGUGGAUACUGUCGGGCUAGAGUGCGGAAGAGGCGAGUGGAAUUCCUGGUGUAGCGGUGAAAUGCGCAGAUAUCAGGAGGAACACCAAUGGCGAAGGCAGCUCGCUGGGACGGUACUGACGCUGAGACGCGAAAGCGUGGGAGCAAACAGG